GCAAUAGAGUGCUGGGGGUGCGGUGAAUAGGUUGGGGCCUAGGGUUUGCCGGAUGUAUUUGGGUUGAAGAGCUCGUGGGCGGUUCGGUAAGGCGGGUGUGAAACCUCCCGGCUCAACGUGGUGGCGCCACCUGAAACGGCCGUGACUUGAGUCCGGUAGGGGAGUGUGGAAUUCCCGGUGUAGCGGUGAAAUGCGCAGAUAUCGGGAGGAACACCAAUGGCGAAGGCAGCACUCUGGGCCGGUACUGACGCUGAGGAGCGAAAGCGUGGGGAGCGAACAGGAUUAGAUACCCCGGUAGUC
rnacentral:rRNA from 1 species